AUUGAACGCUGGCGGCAUGCUUUACACAUGCAAGUCGAACGGCAGCGCGGGCUUCGGCCUGGCGGCGAGUGGCGAACGGGUGAGUAAUACAUCGGAACGUGCCCAUUAGUGGGGGAUAGCUCGGCGAAAGCCGGAUUAAUACCGCAUACGACCUGAGGGUGAAAGCGGGGGAGCUUCGGACCUCGCGCUAUUGGAGCGGCCGAUGGCAGAUUAGCUAGUUGGUGGGGUAAAGGCCUACCAAGGCGACGAUCUGUAGCUGGUCUGAGAGGACGACCAGCCACACUGGGACUGAGACACGGCCCAGACUCCUACGGGAGGCAGCAGUGGGGAAUUUUGGACAAUGGGCGAAAGCCUGAUCCAGCAAUGCCGCGUGUGUGAUGAAGGCCUUCGGGUUGUAAAGCACUUUUGGCGGGAACGAAAAGGACUGUGCCAAUACCACGGUGCGAUGACGGUACCCGAAGAAUAAGCACCGGCUAACUACGUG
rnacentral:rRNA from 1 species